UACGUAGGGGGCAAGCGUUGUCCGGAUUUACUGGGCGUAAAGAGCGCGCAGGCGGUCGGAUAAGUCGAAUGUGAAAGCCCCCGGCUCAACUGGGGAGGGUCAUUCGAUACUGUUCGACUCGAAGGCAGGAGAGGGAAGUGGAAUUCCCGGUGUAGUGGUGAAAUGCGUAGAUAUCGGGAGGAACACCAGUGGCGAAGGCGCCUUCCUGGCCUGUUCUUGACGCUGAGGCGCGAAAGCUAGGGGAGCAAACGGG
rnacentral:rRNA from 1 species